AUACGUAGGGGACGAGCGUUGUCCGGAAUUACUGGGCGUAAAGGGCGCGCAGGCGGAUAUUUAAGUCAGCUGUAAAAGGCAUGAGCUCAACUCAUGUAUGCGGUUGAAACUGGGUAUCUAGAGUGCUGGAGAGGUAGGCGGAAUUCCCGGUGUAGCGGUGAAAUGCGUAGAUAUCGGGAAGAACACCAGUGGCGAAGGCGGCGUACGGGCCAGCAACUGACGCUGAGGCGCGAAAGCCAGGGGAGCGAACGGGAUUAGAUGCCCCGGUAGUCCUGGCCGUAAACGAUGAAUGCUAGGUGUGGGUGUCGAGAGGCAUCCGUGCCGGAGUUAACGCGAUAAGCAUUCCGCCUGGGGAGUACGAUCGCAAGAUUGAAACUCAAAGGAAUUGACGGGG
rnacentral:rRNA from 1 species